rnacentral:rRNA from 1 species
GAUAAACGCUAGCGGCAGGCUUAACACAUGCAAGUCGAGGGGCAGCAUAGAUUGUAGCAAUACAAUUGGUGGCGACCGGCGCACGGGUGCGUAACGCGUAUGCAACCUACCCGUCACAGGGGGAUAAUCCGGAGAAAUCUGGUCUAAUACCCCAUAACAUAUGGGUCGGCAUCGGUUCAUGUUGAAAUUUUCGGAGGUGACGGAUGGGCAUGCGUAGCAUUAGCUUGUUGGUGAGGUAACGGCUCACCAAGGCGACGAUGCUUAGGGGGACUGAGAGGUUUUCCCCCCACACUGAUACUGAGACACGGACCAGACUCCUACGGGAGGCAGCAGUGAGGAAUAUUGGUCAAUGGGCGCAAGCCUGAACCAGCCAUGCCGCGUGCAGGAUGACGGCUCUAUGAGUUGUAAACUGCUUUUGUACGAGGGUAAAGUGGGUUACGUGUAACCUUUUGUAAGUAUCGUACGAAUAAGGAUCGGCUAACUCCGUGCCAGCCGCCGCAGUAA